GGCUGAAGGCAGUGUAACUUAUAUGACUCAGUUUCUGCCUCUAUAAAAUAGGGAUGAUAAUAUUUCUUACCUUACAGAGUUAUAAUGAGGAUCAGUGGAGACAAUCUAUGUAAAGUCAUUUGCAAACCCUGGGGCCAAUGUAAAUAUUAGUUAAUACUCUUCCAUAAUCUAUGAUUUUUGAAUUAGCUGCACAGUGCAUACUGGGGCAACAGGGUGCAGUCCCGCAGGGAACAAGGCUCUGCCUUUGGUAUUCGCCCCAUAGUCCCUUGGUUUCUGUCAUUUUGGAAAGACGAUCCCAGGAUCGUGUCCACCCCGGUCUCUGUCGCAAGAGGCCGAUCCAGUUAAACAGUUCAACUGAGUAAACAUUUAUUAAGCAUUUACAGAUAUCUGCAAGGCACUGUGCUAGGCACACGGAAGGAUACAAAGGUUGAAGCCGACAGCCCUUACCCUCGUGGAGCCUGUAGGGCGUUGCUCGGGGUUUGUUCUCCCCUGCAGAGCUCCAGGAGGCAAAAUAGCUUUUCGCUGAGCUAGUUUGCCGGAAGGGUUCACAGAGGCGCACAGAUACUGGGUAAGUGCUGUGCCCUCUCAUACUGUCAGCCAGUUAAUGUUUCCUUUGAAUUGCUUAGUCUGUUCUUAGGCAAUGACUGAAGCUUUAGGGAAAAUACAGACUUUAUUGCAGCUUGCCUCCGUGGAAGGUACAGAUCUGCUUUCUCUAAGUAAAAUGUGCUUUAAACACGGGUUUAGGACCCAGGAAUUGACAUCUGCUGUUACAGAGUCAUUUGCCCUAGUUGCUGGUGGCCAUGUGUGCUGGUGUGGAGUUGACAAAUUUCAACAAUUGACUGUACCACAAAAUGGGCUGAUCCGGUCCAUUCCAUCUGUUCUUUCUGGUGGAGGGAUUCAUAAGCAGGAGAAUGACCAAGAGCCUAGAGGAAGAAGAAAUAAACUCCACAUCACAUAAUGAGUACCCAAGGAACCAAGAAUCGACAUCAAUGAAGUAACCACCAUGGUGAACUGUCACAGUCAAUUAGGGCUCUGAGCCAAUAGUAAUAAAGUAUUUAAGUGAAUGUAUUAGACCUAAAGA
rnacentral:lncRNA from 1 species